rnacentral:rRNA from 1 species
UACGAAGGGGGCUAGCGUUGCUCGGAAUUAUGUCUGGGCGUAAAGGGCGCGUAGGCGGAUAGUUCAGUUGGGGGUCGAAAGCCCGGGGGCUCAACCUCGGAACUGCCUUCAAUACUGGCUAUCUUGAGUACGGGAGAGGUGUGUGGAACUCGGAGUGUAGAGGUGAAAUUCGUAGAUAUUCGGAAGAACACCAGUGGCGAAGGCGACACACUGGCCCGUUACUGACGCUGAGGCGCGAAAGCGUGGGAGCAACAGGGAUUAAGA